rnacentral:rRNA from 1 species
AGUGAACGCUGGCGGUAGGCCUAACACAUGCAAGUCGAACGGCAGCACAGUAAGAGCUUGCUCUUACGGGUGGCGAGUGGCGGACGGGUGAGGAAUACAUCGGAAUCUACUUUCUCGUGGGGGAUAACGUAGGGAAGCUUACGCUAAUACCGCAUACGACCUACGGGUGAAAGCAGGGGAUCUUCGGACCUUGCGCGAUUGAAUGAGCCGAUGUCGGAUUAGCUAGUUGGCGGGGUAAAGGCCCACCAAGGCGACGAUCCGUAGCUGGUCUGAGAGGAUGAUCAGCCACACUGGAACUGAGACACGGUCCAGACUCCUACGGGAGGCAGCAGUGGGGAAUAUUGGACAAUGGGCGCAAGCCUGAUCCAGCCAUACCGCGUGGGUGAAGAAGGCCUUCGGGUUGUAAAGCCCUUUUGUUGGGAAAGAAAAGCAGCAGGUUAAUACCCCGCUGUUCUGACGGUACCCAAAGAAUAAGCACCGGCUAACUUCGUG